CUCUAUUGUAGUUGGUAAGUUGGGAAAGUAGGUUACAUAAAGUUAUUCGAUUUUUGUCUGUACUCAACGAUAAAUCAAUCUUAACAAAAUCUGAUUCUGAGCGAAGUUCGUUUAAAUACGUUAAACACGAUGUUUACAAUUUUUCGCAAAUUUUAACUUGAUAUAAAAAAAGACGUCCUAGGAUAAUGGGAAAGGAAGCAGCCACUGUUAUAGGAAAUUUAAUGUAUACUUGUAUAAGCAAC